rnacentral:lncRNA from 1 species
UAUCCAUUUCUUGAGGCUGGUAUAAUAGGUCCUACAAAAUCAAUUCACAAUUUUUCAAAAAGGCGCUUGAGCCAAAAUUGGUACCAAUAGCAUUGCUGAAGUUCUAAUAGGUCGAUCCAUUCUCUGACAUGGAUCACAAUGAUGGACGAAUUAGUGGGCAUCUGCAAAAUUAUUGGCUACCAAUAACCAGCCUAUAAAGCUUUACGAGCCGUGUUGUCCCCCGCAAAAUGUCCACCACAA